GACGAACGCUGGCGGCGUGCUUAACACAUGCAAGUCGAACGGAAAGGCCCCGCUCUUGUGGGAUGCUCGAGUGGCGAACGGGUGAGUAACAAGUGUGUAACCUGCUCUUGACUGGGGGAAAAUUACAGGAAACUGGGGAAAAUACCGGAUAGGAGCUUCUGGUGCAUGGUGGGGGUUGGAAAGUUUCGGCGGUGGGGGAUGGGCUCGCGGGUUAUCAGCGUGUGGGUGGGGAAGUGGUUUACCAAGGCUUUGACGGGUAGCCGGCCUGAGAGGGUGACCGGCCCCAUUGGGACUAAGAUAGGGCCCAGACUCCAACGGGAGGCAGCGGGGGGAAAUAUGGCACAAUGGUGGGAGGCCUGUGCCGGCAACGCCGGGUGCGGAAUGACGGCCUUGGGUUGUUAAACCGUUUUCGCCUGGGACAAGGCGUGAGUGACGGUAAUGGGUAAAGAAGCACCGGCUAACUACGUG
rnacentral:rRNA from 1 species